UCUCUGUUAGUAUAUCGGUUAGUACACGCGCCUGUCAAUAGUUACUGUGGCCGCGCGAAAGCGGGGUUCGACUCCCCGACAGAGAG